AAGUUUUAAAAUUAUAAAUAUUUAAAGCAUUUUUUAAAGAUAAACUUUAUAAAAAGUUUUUAAAAUUAUAAUAUUUAACUUUUGAUAAAGUUAUAAUAUUUAUAAUUUCUUGAAACAUUUUAAAGUUUCAAUUCUUUAAAAUAAAAAAUCCGAAUAAAAUCGGAUAACUAUUUUAAUUUUGGACGCCUGAUAAAUCAAGCUUCCUGCUCAUUCGUAAUCAGAAUCAUUUUGGUUCUUUUAUAAUAUGGGUCUGAAGCAUUGUCCAAUUUUUCUAAGCAAUGUGAGACAUUGUACACAUAUUAUUUCUUCAUAGGUUGAAUAAUAUAUGUCUGUUUUAAAAAAUUUGAAUUACAUUAUAUUCAGAAAAAAUAUAAUAUUUUAUUAACUAUAUAUAUUUUAUAUAAAUUCAAAAUAAAUAAAGUAUAAUAUCAAAUAAAAAUGAAAGAAGAAUUAUAUAUUUCUGUUUAAAUUAGGUAGAAAUAUUUUAGGAAAUUAGUUAAGGUAAAUAAGAAAUAUGGUUAGUUUAGAGAUAUUGUUUAUAUUAAAUUUGGUAAUUAAAUCAUUAAUUUUCGUUUUUAAUUAUUAGUUGUUAAGUAACUUUUCCAAAAAUUAAUGUUAUCCAAGAUCAAAACAGAAUUAAACAUGUUAUCCAGGAUCCGAACAUAGUUAAACCGGGUAAAACCCACCCAGUUGAAUUAUGGCUCAAAUCUUCAACAUUAUCUUCAAAAAUCCCCUCCAAAAAUGUAUAUAUAGAUACGAACAAAACAGUAAUAAGUUAAGUAAAACAUAGGUAGUGUUUCACUAUUUCUAUUUUUUUUUCAUCCAAUAUCAAAAAGUAUUAA
rnacentral:sRNA from 1 species